ensembl:lncRNA
CCCCACACAUCCACCAACCACUGGAACACAUCUCCAAAGUUCUGCUGGACCAGCUCAGCUUCCCCUCAGAAGAAGUGCUGCCACCUGCCAGAUGAAGGAGCCUUUUGAGAGGCAGCUGGCAUCGUGAUUGGACUGUACUUUGGUCUGUUCCAAUCCAGCUUCAGCUCCAGAGACGGCAGGCGGGACGAGUCAACGGAGGCCUGAUGGACGAAGACCAAAGAACUACAGACUCUUCACAACCUGCUCAAACUCUUGGUACAGGACCUCACCACACGGGUUGCUUUGUAGAACUGUUCCAGAAAACCUCACUAAACCACAUGGAGGGGCCUCAAGAUAGUCGUCCAAAUGAAACCGUACAAAAACCAAACUAGCACAACCCAAACACUAAAGUCUCCUGCAGCCUACCAGAAAACCUCUGACAACAGAGAAUCAGGACAGGAACUCUUACCUUCUGGAC